UGGCGAAGGCGUCUCACCAGAACGGACCUGACGGCAAGGGACGAAAGCUAGGGGCACGAACCGGAUUAGAUACCCGGGUAGUCCUAGCCGUAAACGAUACUCGCUAGGUGUCGGCCACGGUGCGACCGUUGUCGGUGCCGUAGGGAAGCCGUGAAGCGAGCCACCUGGGAAGUACGGCCGCAAGGCUGAAACUUAAAGGAAUUGGCGGGGGAGCACCACAACGGGUGGAGCUUGCGGUUUAAUUGGAUUCAACGCCGGAAAUCUUACCGGGACCGACAGCGAUAUGAAGGCCAGGCUGAAGACUUUGCCGGAUUAGCU
rnacentral:rRNA from 1 species